AUUGAACGCUGGCGGCAGGCCUAACACAUGCAAGUCGAGCGAGUGGCGGACGGGUGAGUAAUGUCUGGGAAUCUGCCUGAUGGAGGGGGAUAACUACUGGAAACGGUGGCUAAUACCGCAUACUAUCGGAUGUGCCCAGAUGGGAGUAGCUAGUGGGUGGGGUAACGGCUAACCAAGGCGACGAUCCCUAGCUGGUCUGAGAGGAUGACCAGCCACACUGGAACUGAGACACGGUCCAGACUCCUACGGGAGGCAGCAGUGGGGAAUAUUGCACAAUGGGCGCAAGCCUGAUGCAGCCAUGCCGCGUGUAUGAAGAAGGCCUUAGGGUUGUAAAGUACUUUCAGCGGGGAGGCGUUACCCGCAGAAGAAGAACCGGCUAACUCCGUGCCAGCAGCCGCGGUAAUAC
rnacentral:rRNA from 1 species